rnacentral:rRNA from 1 species
CCGGAUUUACUGGGCGUAAAGGGUGAGUAGGCGGUUAUAUGUGUCAGAUGUAAAAGGCUAAGGCUUAACCAUAGUUGGCAUUUGAAACUGUAUGACUUGAGAGCAGGAGAGGUAAGUGGAAUUCCUAGUGUAGCGGUGAAAUGCGUAGAUAUUAGGAGGAACACCAGUGGCGAAGGCGACUUACUGGACUGUAACUGACGCUGAGUCACGAAAGCGUGGGUAGCAAACAGGAUUAGAUACCCCCGUAGUC